GACGAACGCUGGCGGCGUGCCUAAUACAUGCAAGUUGAGCGAUGAAGAUUGGUGCUUGCUCCACUUUGAAGAGCAGCGAACGGGUGAGUAACGCGUGGGUAAUCUGCCUUUGAGCGGGGGAUAACAUUUGGAAACGAAUGCUAAUACCGCAUAACAACUUUAAACAUAAGUUUUAAUAUUGAAAGAUGCAUUUGCUUCACCCAAUGAUGAUCCCGCAUGGUAUUACCGAGUGGGUUAGGUAAAGGCCCACCAAGGCAAUGAUACGUAGCCGACCGGAGAGGGGGAGGGGCAACAAUGGAACGGAAACACGGGCCAAACUCCUAAGGGAGGAAGCAGUAGGGAAGGUGGGGGAAUGGGAGAAAGCCUGACGGAGCAACGCCGCGGGAGGAAUGAAGGUUUUGGGACAGUAAAACGCUGUUAUAGGGGAAGAACAAAUGGGGAAGGAAAUAUGCACGUAGUGACGGUACCUAAUCAGAAAGGCACGGCUAACUACGUG
rnacentral:rRNA from 1 species